rnacentral:rRNA from 1 species
AGUGAACGCUGGCGGUAGGCCUAACACAUGCAAGUCGAACGGCAGCACAGUAAGAGCUUGCUCUUACGGGUGGCGAGUGGCGGACGGGUGAGGAAUACAUCGGAAUCUACUUUUUCGUGGGGGAUAACGUAGGGAAACUUACGCUCAUACCGCAUACGACCUACGGGUGAAAGCAGGGGAUCUUCGGACCUUGCGCGAUUGAAUGAGCCGGUGUCGGAUUAGCUAGUUGGCGGGGUAAAGGCCCACCAAGGCGCCGAUCCGUAGCUGGUCUGAGAGGAUGAUCAGCCACUCUGGAACUGAGAAACGGUCCAGGCUCCUACGGGAGGCAGCAGUGGGGAAGAUUGGACGAUGUGCGCAAGCCUGAUCCAGCCAUACCGCGUGGGUGAAGAAGGCCUCGGGUUGUAAAGCCCUUUUGUUGGGAAAGAAAGGCAGCAGGUUAAUACCCCGCUGUUCUGACGGUACCCAAAGAAUAAGCACCGGCUAACUUCGUG